rnacentral:rRNA from 1 species
CGGAGGUCCCGAGCGUUGUUCGGAUUCACUGGGCGUAAAGGGUGCGUAGGUGGUGAGGUAAGUCGGAUGUGAAAGCUCCGAGCUCAACUCGGAAAUGGCAUUGGAAACUACCUUGCUGGAGGGUUUGAGGGGGGACUGGAAUUCUCGGUGUAGCAGUGAAAUGCGUAGAUAUCGAGAGGAACACCAGUGGCGAAGGCGAGUCCCUGGAAAACACCUGACACUGAGGCACGAAAGCUAGGGGAGCAAACAGGAUUAGAUACCCUGGUAGUCCUAGCCGUAAACGGUGCGUAUUUGCUGUAAAAGGAAUCGACCCCUUUUGUGGCGUAGCCAACGCGUUAAAAUACGCCGCCUGGGAAGUACGGUCGCAAGAUUAA